GUCUAGUAAUGGGCUUUCUAUGUAUAGAGCUUAAAAAUCUCUUUAUUCUUUCCCAAAGGAUGUAGAACCUCCAGCUCAGACUCCUCCAGCUGCUAGCUGUGACGGAGAAGCUGUAGAAGGUCCAUCAGUUGAAUGCAUUGAAAACACACCAGAAGCAUCAGAGAAGAAAGAAGAAUCUCUGGGUGUUCAUGUCUUGAAGGAUGAAGAACCUAUGGAAAGUGAUGGAGAUACUGAAAACACACCAGAAGCAUCAGA